ACCAGUACAUGAACUGGGAGCUCUGUAGAUACCAGUAUAUGAACUGGGAGCUCUGUCAAUACCAGUACGUGAACUGGGAGCUCUGUCAAUACCAGUACGUGAACUGGGAGCUCUGUAGAUACCAGUACGUGAACUGGGAGCUCUGUAGAUACCAGUACGUGAACUGGGAGCUCUGUCAAUACCAGUACGUGAACUGGGAGCUCUGUCCAUACCAGUACGUGAACUGGGAGCUCUGUCCAUACCAGUACAUGAACUGGGAGCUCCAAAAAUACCAGUACAUGAACUGGGAGCUCUGUAGAUACCAGUACGUGAACUGGGAGCUCCGUCAAUACCAGUACAUGAACUGGGAGCUCCGUCAAUACCAGUACAUGAACUGGGAGCUCUGUCAAUACCAGUACGUGAACUGGGAGCUCUGUAGAUACCAGUACAUGAACUGGGAGCUCUGUAGAUACCAGUACAUGAACUGGGAGCUCCAAAAAUACCAGUACAUGAACUGGGAGCUCUGUAGAUACCAGUACAUGAACUGGGAGCUCUGUAGAUACCAGUACAUGAACUGGGAGCUCUGUAGAUACCAGUACAUGAACUGGGAGCUCUGUAGAUACCAGUAUAUGAACUGGGAGCUCUGUCCAUACCAGUACAUGAACUGGGAGCUCUGUAGAUACCAGUACAUGAACUGGGAGCUCCAAAAAUACCAGUACAUGAACUGGGAGCUCUGUCCAUACCAGUACAUGAACUGGGAGCUCCGUCAAUACCAGUACAUGAACUGGGAGCUCCGUAAAUACCAGUACAUGAAUGACCUGGGAGCUCUGUCAAUACCAGUAGGUGCACUGGGAGCUCCAAAAAUACCAGUACAUGAACUGGGAGCUCUGUCAAUACCAGUACGUGAACUGGGAGCUCUGUCAAUACCAGUACGUGAACUGGGAGCACCCCAAAAAGCCCAGCUCCAGCCAAAAGGCACAGAAGGGUCCCCAGGAGGGAACACCCCGUUCCUACCCCUACUGGUUCUGGGAUAUUUGCCCUUUUAGGGUUUUCCCCUAAAAUGGGUGCCCGUGCCGAAAGCUCCCAAAACCCCCCGAGGGGCUCAUUUUGCUGCCCCCCCCCCUUACCAGGAUGUCCUCCGAAGCGUGGCCGUGGGUGCCGGUGACCCCGUUGAGCUGGUUUUGGGGCAGGUCCCGUGCGGGGAUGAACCAGUCCCGAUCCUCUUCCUCCAGCAUCUCCUGGAAGCAGCGAUCCAAAAAUUCCUGCUCCUGCAGCUCCUCCUCCACCUGCCCAAAAAAAAGCCCUCGGGGAAGCGCAGAGCCGGGUGCCCCCCCCCCCCCCUUGUGCCAGAUUU
rnacentral:lncRNA from 1 species